rnacentral:rRNA from 1 species
GACGAACGCUGGCGGCGUGCUUAACACAUGCAAGUCGAACGGAAAGGCCCUGCUUUUGUGGGGUGCUCGAGUGGCGAACGGGUGAGUAACACGUGGGUAACCUGCCCUUGACUUUGGGAUAACUUCAGGAAACGGGGGCUAAUACCGGAUAGGAGCUCCGGCGGCAUGGUGGGGGUGGGAAAGUUUCGGCGGUUGGGGAUGGACUCGCGGCUUAUCAGCUUGUUGGUGGGGUAGUGGCUUACCAAGGCUUUGACGGGUAGCCGGCCUGAGAGGGUGACCGGCCACAUUGGGACUGAGAUACGGCCCAGACUCCUACGGGGGGCAGCAGUGGGGAAUAUUGCACAAUGGGCGGAAGCCUGAUGCAGCAACGCCGCGUGCGGGAUGACGGCCUUCGGGUUGUAAACCGCUUUCGCCUGUGACGAAGCGUGAGUGACGGUAAUGGGUAAAGAAGCACCGGCUAACUACGUG